rnacentral:rRNA from 1 species
AUGAACGCUGGCGGCGUGCCUAAUACAUGCAAGUCGAGCGAACAGACGAGGAGCUUGCUCCUCUGACGUUAGCGGCGGACGGGUGAGUAACACGUGGAUAACCUACCUAUAAGACUGGGAUAACUUCGGGAAACCGGAGCUAAUACCGGAUAAUAUAUUGAACCGCAUGGUUCAAUAGUGAAAGACGGUUUUGCUGUCACUUAUAGAUGGAUCCGCGCCGCAUUAGCUAGUUGGUAAGGUAACGGCUUACCAAGGCAACGAUGCGUAGCCGACCUGAGAGGGUAAUCGGCCACACUGGAACUGAGACACGGUCCAGACUCCUACGGGAGGCAGCAGUAGGGAAUCUUCCGCAAUGGGCGAAAGCCUGACGGAGCAACGCCGCGUGAGUGAUGAAGGUCUUCGGAUCGUAAAACUCUGUUAUUAGGGAAGAACAAAUGUGUAAGUAACUAUGCACGUCUUGACGGUACCUAAUCAGAAAGCCACGGCUAACUACGUG